UACGUAGGGGGCAAGCGUUGUCCGGAAUCAUUGGGCGUAAAGAGCGUGUAGGCGGCCUGGUAAGUCCGCUGUGAAAUUCCAGGGCUCAACCCUGGAAUGCCGGUGGAAACUGUCAGGCUCGAGUCCGGAAGAGGCGAGUGGAAUUCCUGGUGUAGCGGUGAAAUGCGCAGAUAUCAGGAGGAACACCAAUGGCGAAGGCAGCUCGCUGGGACGGUACUGACGCUGAGACGCGAAAGCGUGGGGAGCAAACAGG
rnacentral:rRNA from 1 species